CGGGGCGUGGCGCAGUUAGGUAGCGCGCAUCGUUCGGGACGAUGAGGUCGGAGGUUCAAAUCCUCUCGCCCCGACCA
rnacentral:tRNA from 2 species